GACGAACGCUGGCGGCGUGCUUAACACAUGCAAGUCGAACGGUAAGGCUCCAGCUUGCUGGGGUACACGAGUGGCGAACGGGUGAGUAACACGUGGGUGACCUGCCCUGCACUUCGGGAUAAGCCUGGGAAACUGGGUCUAAUACCGGAUAGGACCAUGGUGUGGAUACUGUGGUGGAAAGUUUUUUCGGUGUGGGAUGGGCCCGCGGCCUAUUAGCUUGUUGGUGGGGUAAUGGCCUACCAAGGCGGCGACGGGUAGCCGGCCUGAGAGGGUGGACGGCCACAUUGGGACUGAGACACGGCCCAGACUCCUACGGGAGGCAGCAGUGGGGAAUAUUGCACAAUGGGCGGAAGCCUGAUGCAGCGACGCCGCGUGGGGGAUGACGGCCUUCGGGUUGUAAACUCCUUUCACCAUCGACGAAGGGUUUCUGACGGUAGAUGGAGAAGAAGCACCGGCUAACUACGUG
rnacentral:rRNA from 1 species